GGUCGGCUCUGGGAGUCCCGGCUGCGGCCAAGCGGCUGUGGCAGAAUGCGGGACCUUCCCGCCGCGCGAGCGACCCGGCUUAGAGUAGAGGGCCACCACCAGCCACCCCUCGCCUUUGACUGACCGGGCCUGGCCAAGAAACAUUAGUGUAGCUCAACGCAUCUACCAUGCUGAAAACUGUAUUUCCCAGCAUCCUUUGAAACUGUGGCUAUUCCAUGUGACUUCAUGCUGACCAGUAGGACACAAGUAGAAGUGGUCAUGCAGAGGUGAUGGAAGCUACUUCCAGGCCUUGCCUGCAUCAAAAUUCCAUGUAACUAUCCAGCUGUCUGUUCGCCACCCGUGUCCAACUCUAAGACCAGCGGUCAUAGGGAUGUGAUGGAAAAGUGGGACUUGAUGCCCAGAGUGAGUGAUACGAAAGCCAGAGGUGAAUAAGCCCUUGGUGUGUUCAGUUGCUGCCAUGUCAGAGCCUGCAGCAUCCGCCUGUCU